UCGUCUCAGUUCGGACUGUAGUCUGCAACUCGACUACACGAAGCCGGAAUCGCUAGUAAUCGCGAAUCAGAAUGUCGCGGUGAAUACGUUCCCGGGUCUUGUACACACCGCCCGUCACACCAUGGGAGUCGGAAAUGCCCGAAGUCAGUGACCUAACCAUUAAGGGAGGAGCUGCCGAAGGUGGAGCCGGUAACUGGGGUGAAGUCGUAACAAGGUAUC
rnacentral:rRNA from 1 species